rnacentral:rRNA from 1 species
GAUCCUGGCUCAGGAUGAACGCUGGCGGCGUGCAUAACACAUUCAAGUCGAACGGACGACCCGGAGCUUGCUACGGAAAGUUAGUGGCGGACGGGUGAGUAACGCGUGAGCAACCUGCCUGUGUGAGCGGAAUAACGUCCGGAAACAGACGCUAAUACCGCAUGACUCACGGACUUCGCAUGGAGACCGUGGCAAAGAUUUAUCGCACACAGAUGGGCUCGCGUCCGAUUAGGCAG